CCAGCAGCGAAACGAUGGGGGAGCCGCAGUCAGGCCGUGAGCCCAUCAUCUCCGAAUGGGGCAACCCACCAUCUGGUGACAGGUGGUACCCGCAGUGCGGGAGGUAAGUGGGGGAACUGAAACAUCUCAGUACCCUGAGGAAGCGAAACAAGUCCCGGAGUAGUGGCGAGCGAAACGGGAGAUGCCUAAACCCAUGCCGUGUCAAGCCUGCAGGCGUUGCGGUGUGGGGGUUG
rnacentral:misc_RNA from 1 species